AAAUGGCUGACAACGGAUGCAGACGGCUGCUGACGCUCUUCCUCCUGGUGUGCAUCAUGCUGACACACGAGGGAACGAAAGCAGGACGUUCAGUAAUGGGUGCCACCAGAGGACAGCGACUCCGAAGGCAGCUGGGUUACGCUUCCAACGGGUUUGGCGGUAAUGCUCGCUAUCGUUCAAAGAACCAUAUCUCAGGAGGCAUCGAGGCGGAUAGGCCAUCUGUGGGUGCUUUGUAUGGAAACCAUGACUCACCUGCCCCACCCAUACGGUUUGGAACGAAUUCCUUCGGUAGCCAACGGUACCAAACGCGACCCCCACAACUCUACUUUCACGGCUCGAAGUACCCACCGUACUGGCACAGGGGCUGAACUUAAGUCUCUUUUUGGAAAAUGCGUUCACGAGAAGCUAUGGGAAAGAUUGCGUGAAUGAAUAA